rnacentral:rRNA from 1 species
AUGCACGCUGGCGGCGUGCCUAAUACAUGCAAGUCGAGCGAACGGACGAGAAGCUUGCUUUUCUGAUGUUAGCGGCGGACGGGUGAGUAACACGUGGAUAACCUACCUAUAAGACUGGGAUAACUUCGGGAAACCGGAGCUAAUACCGGAUAAUAUUUUGAACCGCAUGGUUCAAAAGUGAAAGACGGUCUUGCUGUCACUUAUAGAUGGAUCCGCGCUGCAUUAGCUAGUUGGUAAGGUAACGGCUUACCAAGGCAACGAUGCAUAGCCGACCUGAGAGGGUGAUCGGCCACACUGGAACUGAGACACGGUCCAGACUCCUACGGGAGGCAGCAGUAGGGAAUCUUCCGCAAUGGGCGAAAGCCUGACGGAGCAACGCCGCGUGAGUGAUGAAGGUCUUCGGAUCGUAAAACUCUGUUAUUAGGGAAGAACAUAUGUGUAAGUAACUUUGCACAUCUUGACGGUACCUAAUCAGAAAGCCACGGCUAACUACGUG